AGAGAAGUAAAAGUCGUAACAAGGUUUCCGUAGGUGAACCUGCGGAAGGAUCAUUAAAGAGUAAGGGUGCUCAGCGCCCGACCUCCAACCCUUUGUUGUUAAAACUACCUUGUUGCUUUGGCGGGACCGCUCGGUCUCGAGCCGCUGGGGAUUCGUCCCAGGCGAGCGCCCGCCAGAGUUAAACCAAACUCUUGUUAUUUAACCGGUCGUCUGAGUUAAAAUUUUGAAUAAAUCAAAACUUUCAACAACGGAUCUCUUGGUUCUCGCAUCGAUGAAGAACGCAGCGAAAUGCGAUAAGUAAUGUGAAUUGCAGAAUUCAGUGAAUCAUCGAAUCUUUGAACGCACAUUGCGCCCCUUGGUAUUCCGAGGGGCAUGCCUGUUCGAGCGUCAUUACACCACUCAAGCUAUGCUUGGUAUUGGGCGUCGUCCUUAGUUGGGCGCGCCUUAAAGACCUCGGCGAGGCCACUCCGGCUUUAGGCGUAGUAGAAUUUAUUCGACACGUCUGUCAAAGGAGAGGAACUCUGCCGACUGAACACCUUUAUUUUUCUAGGUUGACCUCGGAUCAGGUAGGGAUACCCGCUGAACUAAGCAUAUCAUUACGGAA
rnacentral:rRNA from 1 species